AAUAACCUCAUUUUUCGUUUUUCCGUGUCCAAUGUUUGACUAUUUGUCUUAUUUGAAAAAUUUGUAUAAAAACUUUAAAAAAUUAGUCACGCAUAAAGUACUAUUCAUAUUUCAUCAUCUAGUAACAAUAAGAAUAUUAAUCGCAAAAAAAUUCCAAAUAAGACGAAGAGUUAAAACAUUAUAUCAAAAAACUGAAAAAUGAAGUUAUU
rfam:Oryza brachyantha chromosome 1, whole genome shotgun sequence.